ensembl:piRNA 21ur-7995 ncRNA
UUGGGAAAUUUUGUGACUUUU